GAUGAACGCUGGCGGCGUGCCUAAUACAUGCAAGUCGAGCGAACAGACGAGGAGCUUGCUCCUCUGACGUUAGCGGCGGACGGGUGAGUAACACGUGGAUAACCUACCUAUAAGACUGGGAUAACUUCGGGAAACCGGAGCUAAUACCGGAUAAUAUAUUGAACCGCAUGGUUCAAUAGUGAAAGACGGUUUUGCUGUCACUUAUAGAUGGAUCCGCGCCGCAUUAGCUAGUUGGUAAGGUAACGGCUUACCAAGGCAACGAUGCGUAGCCGACCUGAGAGGGUGAUCGGCCACACUGGAACUGAGACACGGUCCAGGCUCCUACGGGAGGCAGCAGUAGGGAAUCUUCCGCAAUGGGCGAAAGCCUGACGGAGCAACGCCGCGUGAGUUAUGAAGGUCUUCGGAUCGUAAAACUCUGUUAUUAGGGAAGAACAAAUGUGUAAGUAACUAUGCACGUCUUGACGGUACCUAAUCAGAAAGCCACGGCUAACUACGUG
rnacentral:rRNA from 1 species